rnacentral:rRNA from 1 species
AAGGUAGCGUAAUAACCAGCCUUCUAAUUAAAGGCCAGUGAAAGGCGACACGUGGGAACUCCUAUAUCUAAUGUGCCACAAGAAAUUUACCUUUGAGUGAAAAGGCUCAACUAAUAAAAAAAGACGAAAAGACCCCGCGGAGCUUUACUUAAACGCCUUAAACAAGCACAAAGUUACCGCCAAUAGUUUGGUUGGGGCAACCUUGGAACAACUUAUCUUCCAAUUACAUACUCUAACACCAUAAAAAACCCACUAAGGACUAAAAAGAAGCUACCCCGGGGAUAACAGCGUAAUCCAACUUAAA